UACGAAGGGGGCUAGCGUUGCUCGGAAUUACUGGGCGUAAAGGGCGCGUAGGCGGACAGUUUAGUCAGAGGUGAAAGCCCAGGGCUCAACCUUGGAAUUGCCUUUGAUACUGGCUGUCUUGAGUACGGGAGAGGUGAGUGGAACUCCGAGUGUAGAGGUGAAAUUCGUAGAUAUUGGGAAGAACACCGGUGGCGAAGGCGGCUAUCUGGACCGUAACUGACGCUGAGGCGCGAAAGCGUGGGGAGCAAACAGG
rnacentral:rRNA from 1 species